UACGGAGGAUCCGAGCGUUAUCCGGAUUUAUUGGGUUUAAAGGGUGCGCAGGCGGGAGAUUAAGUCGGCGGUGAAAUUUUGCAGCUCAACUGUAAAAGUGCCUUCGAUACUGGUUUCCUUGAGUGUGGAUGAAGUAGGCGGAAUUUGUGGUGUAGCGGUGAAAUGCAUAGAUAUCACGAGGAACUCCGAUUGCGCAGGCAGCUUACUAAACCAUAACUGACGCUCAGGCACGAAGGCGUGGGGAUCAAACAGGAUUAGAUACCCU
rnacentral:rRNA from 1 species